rnacentral:lncRNA from 1 species
CAUCCGUCCCAUAGUUUAGAACAUGACCUGGCUAUCUGGCAUUGUUGCAAGUGCCUUAAAUUCAUGGCAUCCUAUUAAAAAAACAAAUUUGGUGUUAUGCUGCAUGACAAAGACAAACACACCUCAAAACGUUGUCCUUUCUUAGCUUGCUGCGUUUUACAGUUCUUUCUGCUGACAAUUUAUAAGCCUUUAUUAUAUAAUAUUGAUGAAUUACAGAAAUGAUGAAGUUGUUCUCUUAUUUCUGUUCAAUGUACCAGAGCUGUGUAUCUGUUAAUGAGAUACAGCGUCAUUUCUGUGAAAUGUAUAAAUGUAUGUGCAGGUCAAAUUAAUAUAUGACAUACUAUCAGUCUGUAUACAGGUAUUCCUGUUUUGCUAAGUUGUGCAGAUUCAGUUUAAAAAAAAAAUUAGUGCAGUCAAGUUAUGAAAUCUCCUUUUUUAGAUUCUGUGAAAAACCAUCCAACUCAAAAGAAAAAUUGGAAAAUGACUGCUGACCAAGCCUCAUCAUGAAACCAAUAAUGAACAAAUUGCACCACUCAACAAAACAGGAUGCUUCCUCUGAGUUCUUGUAUAUGCAAAUCACUUACAAGGCAAGUUUUCAACAGACCUAGAAAGCUAAACGUUGACCGUGUGUUGUUAGCCCUCCUCUUUAUCUGCCCUUGCAUCAACAGACAGAGCUCUGGGACAUGACAGUGACUCAGAGGUUUGGACUUCCGAGUAAAGGGACAUUUCUUGAAGCAUCAUCUAUCAAAUUUAUUUCAGUGUAUGAUGUUUUUACAACUGGUCGGUUCUUUUGUAUUCUUACAGCUAUGGUUAUUUGAUUGUCCUCUUACAAUUUGUUCUACAUGAAAGAGUCCUUUGUUAGUCAGAAUGCAACAACUGUCAUCCGGUGGUCACUGACCACUUGCACUCUUUUGAUGUAGAUUAAAAACUUUUUCAUAAACUUAACCUGCUUUGAUUUGCUCUGUAUUUUUCCUGCAGCUGUAAUUGCCGAGUGCCUGUUGUAUACUUUAUAGAGUUGAAAUAAAAAAAUA